CCUCCCCGCAAUCGCUACAUUCUGCGCCGAACCCACUCUCUCCCGGUCCGUAUUUUAACUUCUUCUCAGAUACCUACUUGUACCUCGUUGGGUACCGGGAGACAGUUUGGAUUAUUAGCAUUACGGAUUGAGUACGAUUUCAUGCGGAUGACGACUUCUUCAACAAGAAUUUAGUAAAAGAAAAUUGGUCGGAAAUUUCAGAAUAUGUGGAGGGGAUCUUAAUGUCAGCAUCCUGGAAGUAGAAAGCACAGAAGAUCUGUGUGUGACACCACAGACAGGGGCAGAGUGUAGCCGAGGCGACGCAGGGGGAGGAAGCUCCCGGGGGGAGGUGGUGCAGCGGCACGACCCCCCGGCUGUGGAUGUGCUAGGUGUCGACCCUCUGGCUGCACAGAAUGUGGCUGGGUUGUCACCUCAGCAUGCCCCGCAGCCGGUCGCAGCUGCCCCCUUCCCAGCCCCACUGUUGGUCCACGCGCCCACGCUGCCCACGCCAGAGAGCGACGUCCCGGCGGCCCUCGGUGCGGAGAGGGACCCUGCGUCCAACACACCCCACACUGUUUCCCAAGGCUCUGAGGAAGGCCUUCCAGAAGAGCGGCUCAAGGCUUCUCCGGAGAGCGUCCAAGGUGGAGGCUCCGCUCCAAUACCCCCCUCUGAGAACUGCAGCCCCUCUGCCGGCCUGCAGAGGAGCCCCCUUCCCCUCACGCCUCCACCUCCUACCCCGUCGUCAGGCAUACAGACUGACGCCACAGGGCAAGAGCUCCACUACGGGUUACAAACUGAGACAGGAAUCUGCCAGUCAGAGUGUGGUGAAACCCAGACCGAGCCAGCGGGAGAGGCUGGUGGACUGCUGGUUAUUACAGAGGCAGAGGCGGGACCAGUGGCCUCAGCCAGGGACAUUAUGGAAUAUAACUCAGAGACUAGACCAGACCAGUCACUCUGUGGAGGAGAGCACACAAUCACAGACAACCUCCCACAAGCCCCCUCUCCACCCUGUCCCAGCGCUUCCUCCCCUGACCGCCAACGCUGCGUUGCAAACCUUUCACUCCAGGACGCCGUUAUGGAGCAGUCCACAACGGCCGCCCAACAAACUGACGCCCCGACGUCGCAGCCGCAAAUCAUCAGCCAGGGCCCUAGCGGUGCCGGGGAACCGACUGGAGGUGUUGGAUCCAUGUCGGUCGGGAUACAAGAGCACGCCACGGAACUUUCAGACUCCGCUCAUAAACAAACACUAUCUCAGCCUCCCUCGUCGGAGGUACUUGAGAAUGCCGGGCCGGGAGAAACGGUGUCCGGGGCGGAGCCGUGUGCCGGUGAACAGAGCACCGCCUCCGUCAGCACGGCCGAGGUGGAGCCAGCGGAGAGCAGCGGCACCGUGGACACCUAUAGUGUAGUCUCCUUCACGUCGGCGGGCUAUGCGUUGCAAAUACAGCCCCCUUCUGCACCCAAUGUCCUCCACCCGGACCCGGCGGGCUCCAGCCAGGCGGAGGCGUUUGUUGAACUAGGGUCCGCUGCCCUGGCGGACCAGAUCUCCACGGUGGAUGUGCCAAUGAUCUCAGAGAUGGUGCAUUCGUCGGAAACUCAGAGGAUCGUGAUCGUCGGGGACCCGUCCCACCUCGGUGGGGAUUGGUCGGAGAUGCACGUCAAUCAGAGCUACCUAGUCCAACAGGAGGACGGCAGCAUCUGCGAGGCCUCCGUGGUCAACGACCUGUCCUCUGGCCAGCCCAAGCUCUACGGAGAGGGCCUCCAGCUGGACUCCCAGCCCGUCGUCUAUGAGAUCUGCAGCCUGGUUGAGGGCGUAGCCGAGGAGACGAUCUGCGUCAGCAGCACCGUGCAGCCCCACUCCCCGGGCUACGAGGUCAACUUGUUCAACGCGCUGCUGGAUCACUCUGAGGAGUACCCGGGAAAAGAGGGUCUGAGCCUGCACAUGGAGGCCCCCCUCUGCGGCGUGAGCGAAGCCGACGGCGUCCUGAUCGCCCAGCAGGCCUUCCCCUUGUCGGGGGCCUCCGCAGUGAUGAGCCACAACGUCUCCAUCUCGCACCCCGGCACGGCCGCCCUGGGCUCGCGCCUAGUGUCAGACAUUAGUCAGGCUGUCCAAGUGCCCGGCCUGAGUGAGCUGUGUGUCGUUACGGCCAGCAGUGAGCAGCACCCCUUGACCCCACGUCUGCCAGCCGACGCUGUUGUAUCGUACAUGGUGGAGGCCCCUUCUCUUCAGAUGGGUGGACCAGAACCGUCCGCUGGUUCCUCCACUCUCGUUUCCCCCGUGCAGUUUGUCAUCCCGGAGGAGGUGGCUAUGGACUCGUCGCUCGCUGUUUCAAUUCAGACGGAUCCGCCACAGUGUCCGGGCGUCACUGUUGAAAACGCUGUGCAGCUGGGGGCCUGCGGGGCUCCUUCAGACGGAGGGACCAAAGACAAAUCAACUCUGAGCAGAGCCGCCACACCAGAGACUGCCUCCCCCGCCGUAAAUCGAAAGUUCCUCCCACACACUAAGUCUCCCCUCCUCGGACAGACACCUUCUGUUUUGUCGCAGGUGCCCGAGAUGCAGAACUCUGCUGAACACGUUCUUGCCAACGCCCACAGCCUCCGGGCGGGCUCGGUGUCUGAAGAGUGCCUUCCCAAGACCGUGUCGCUCACAGACCCGGUGCCAGAGACUGUUGCGGUUGGCUGCCAGAGCCAUCAGGCUCAGCGUCCCGUCAACAGGUCACCCGCCGCCGCACCUUCCACCGAGGCCUUGUGCCGACCUACAACUGAAAACGCCUGCCACGGAACCCUUCAUAGCAACUCGGACAAUGAGGCCUUAACUGCGGCAGAACCCUCGACAGGGAGGCAACUACCUGGACUCCUAAAUGUUGCCUCCUCUAAAAGCACCGCCGCUCCGAGCGCCCCCCAGUCCCACGGUGCGUCACCGGCUACGUUGGAAGCAAAGGCCCCCUCUCUCACUGCCCAGGAGCGUCCUGACACCCAGUCCUACUUCCUCUGUGAGGGUGAGGAGAUGGAGCAGGAAGGCUCCCCUGAAGAAGCCCCGUCCCAGGAACCCGCCUCGGGGGAGGCCAGCAGUGAAGAGGAGGGCAGCGAGGAGGAGGAGGAAGAGUCGGAGUGCGACAAGACAGAUUA
ensembl:lncRNA